GACGUAGGGUGCAAGCGUUGUUCGGAAUUACUGGGCGUAAAGGGCGCGUAGGCGGUACUUCAAGUCAGGCGUGAAAGCCCCGGGCUCAACCUGGGAACCGCGCUUGAGACUGGAGAACUAGAGUUCGGGAGAGGAUGGUGGAAUUCCCAGUGUAGAGGUGAAAUUCGUAGAUAUUGGGAAGAACACCGAUGGGCGAAGGCAGCCAUCUGGACCGACACUGACGCUGAGGCGCGAAAGCGUGGGGAGCAAACAGG
rnacentral:rRNA from 1 species